UCCGGUUUGUCACCGGCAGUCCCAUUAGAGUGCCCAACUGAAUGUGGCAACUAAUGGCAAGGGUUGCGCUCGUUGCGGGACUUAACCCAACAUCUCACGACACGAGCUGACGACAGCCAUGCAGCACCUGUGUCCGCGUCCAUUGCUGGAACUCCCCAUCUCUGGAGAUAGCACGGCAUGUCAAGGGCUGGUAAGGUUCUUCGCGUUGCGUCGAAUUAAACCACAUGCUCCACCGCUUGUGCGGGCCCCCGUCAAUUCCUUUGGGUUUUAGCCUUGCGGCCGUAGUCCCCAGGCGGAGUACUUAUCGCGUUAGCUUCGGCACUGAGGGGGUCGAUACCCCCAACACCUAGUACUCAUCGUUUACAGCGUGGACUAC
rnacentral:misc_RNA from 1 species